CUGCACAGAAUAUUUUGAGUUCUAGCUUUAUUUACCUUCAUCCAAGAAUUUUGCUGGAAAGGGGCUGUUAAUAAAACACAGUCAGAAGGGAAACACCAGUGAAAACACAGAAACACAUUCAACCUCUGUCACAGGUCUAACAUCACUGGGUUCUGGUCCACAGUAACACACCUAAAUAUAUAUUGUGAAAUAUACAUGUGAUGAACUACACAUAAUAGAUUCAUGUUAACGUGGAGCUAGGCAUAUCUGAGUUCAGCACAACCAGGAGCCCAGCCUCUAUUGAACACUGUGCCCUCUAUACGUAUAAGCUACUGAUUGAUGCUCUGCUUCCUAAUUACAUGGGUGAGUAGAAAAGAAUCAAGUGUUUUCUGUUAUGCUCAAAGGCCAGAGAGAGACCAUUAUGGUAGUCUGAUCUGACUUCCCACAAGACAGAGGCCAUUUGCCAACCCUUGAAGUAACACAUAUUUUCAUUAAUAUUGGAUUUGUUGUUUCCAUUUAAAAUAUUUUGUCUAUGUGAAACAGCUGCAAAAGGUGUUAGAAAGGAGCUUCAGCAAGGAGUAAAAAACAGGAGAAUUUUGAGUCCAGCUGCUAGGGCUGAGACAAGGAAGAGAUGACCUUGCAGUUCAAAGCUUGAACUUUGAGAGGUAAGGAAGAGUUUCAAGCAGCAAGAGAAUAAACAGGGAAAGAGAGAUGACAAUUUCCAUUUAAGAGAGCAGAGAGCAAGUAGAAUAUUAAUCUUGAGAGAAUGAACUAAUACAGAUUAUGACUCCAAAAUAUGAAAAAUUCAUACUUAGGUGUACAGUUUGUCCCACUAAAGAAGAAUUUAUCUACAAGACUCUCCAUUCUGCCUUUUAAAGGAUAAAGUUUCUCCCAUGCCCAGUUCUGUACAUUUAUGGCUUUGAUUAAGUAUUGUUGUCCUUCUUACAGCUGUUAGCCAUAAGCUAGACCUGUUGUAUAAUGGGUUGACACAUCAUUGUUGAGUUUGUUGUUGACUAGCCAAGGCUUAACUGAAAUAAGCAGUAUUCAAACUGGUAUCUCCAGCUUAUUUCUAGGAACAGCAUAUUUUUCUCCACCUGACCUUAUGUUGGAUUUGUAUGUGUGACAGGUUUUUGGUAGUAGAGGAGGGGGGGCUGCAGCAAUGGUUCCUCUGAGAAGCUUCUUGAAGAUCCCUCAGCUCCAAGACAGACCUGCCUCUGGCCAAGGCUGAGCCAAUUAGUGAUGGUGAUUGUGUCUCUGUGAUAGCGGAUUUAAGAAGGGGAACCUGGGAGUAGGGGUGGGAGUUGUGAGGGAGACACCUAUGCAAACACUGAGGUCAGUGGAAAAAAAAGGAGGAGGAAGAGAGUGGGGAGGUGGGCCAGAGCAGAAACUUCCCUGCAGCCUUUGCUGAGGGGGCAGGCGGUGCCCCUGCAGCCCAUGGAGGAUUCCAUGCUGGAGCAGGUGCCCACCUGCAUCCUGUGGAGGAUCCCAUGCUGGAGCAGGUGGCUGUGCUCAAAGAAG